ACAGUCCUGGAAGAUCGCGUGUGAUUUAAGUACUGAUCAUUAAUAUUAUUAAUGCUAAAUGGAAGCGAGGUUUAUUGCACUCAGUCUGUGUUUACAACAUUUAAUUGUAACAACAGUCAUGUUCAGAAUUAAAUUACAAAGCCACUUUAUUGGAUGGAAGAAGACUAUUUUUGCUCUGUAAUGUGAAGUCUUAAAAUCAGAACAUGAGUGGAAAUGUAUAUUUUCUCAAAGGAUAACAAAUGGAUUGAGAAUUGUCCAGCAAAAUCUAGUUCUCCAUCCUAUCGUUUCAAGCCUAUUCCUGAAGGAAAAGUGCUUCAAAUAAAAGAAGGUGAAAUAUUCUGUGAUUCUGUUCUGGAUGCAGCCUGCUGUAGGGAGCCUGCUUUAGCAGGGGGUUGAACUCCGUGAUCUCCAGAGGUCCCUUCCAACCCCUACACUUCUGUGAUUGCGUGAAAUCCAGCUUUGGUGCUAGAAGGUGUGUGCAGUGAUGUGCUCUGCAAGGAAGACAAUAAAGGCAUACCCCCAAAACAACCACAGCCGCCCAGCUGCACCCACAAAGGCCGUGUCUGUGUUAGCGAGUGUGAGAGAUCAGCCUGACCCAGUCACAGAACCACAGAAUGGUUAGGGCUGGAAGGGACCUUGAAGAUCAUCUUAUUCUACCCUCCUGCAAAUCUGUUGGUGCCGAAGACCUGAUGGAUAUCCAUGUGCUUCCACAUGGUUUUCUUUAGCUUUGCUCUAGCCUAGGUCUCUAGCACUCAAGACCCAUUAGAUGCCCUUCUAAAGCCUUGUCUUCUUGUCCAGUGCCACCUGCAUAGCAUCCACCCUGUGCACUCUUCCCUGCUGGGUAAAACAAAACGUGGCUGAGCAAAGGAUGACCUGGAGACUCAUCCUGAAAGUGAGCCACGCCAGAACAUGAACGUGGCUGUGCCCAUAGGGUGGGUGACUGUCCCAGGUGUGAGAACUGGAGCCUGCUCUGCAGCAUGCCUUCCUAGCACUCACACCACCUCUGCACGGUUCCAAGCCUCCACCGCAAAAUGCCCCAGUGCUCAGCACUGCUUCUGCGAGUGGCUGCAUGCUGACCGUUCUGGUGCCUCCAGCCAGAGCCUGACUCGGGUGUUUCACCUCCUGCUUCCCUUUUACCACCAUGGGAACUGCGCUCUUGGCAUGAAGAGAGAGAAGGAGAGAGUACAGUCGUAAACUGCAAUUGCUUAAAGAACCAGUUUGGUGUUGUUUCAUUAGCCCAAGGCCUUGGUUACAAUGAAACAACGAUAGAUGCGUUUAAAUUAAGAGCACCGGGAUUAGACAGGGGUAGAAAUUGCUUGGCGUUAAAAUGACUACAGAAAAACUUCUGUUUCACACAUGUAAACAGUUUCUAGGUUACAUCUGACUCUGUAAAUCUAGGGAGAAGGAAACAAGUAUGCAUUUAUUCAUGCAAUUUAUCUCCUCCAUGGUGUAUGCCAAGGUCCCCAAGUCAGUGUUUGCUUUGCUAAUGGCAUCUCUACAGCAGUCCAUUUACUUCCCUUAUAUGGCCUUUAUAUUCACUCGCUGAGCUGCUGCCAUUCUGCAUUCCCUCAUAGAGACUGCACACGGAGUUCUGCAUCUCUCCUGAAGCAUCUUAUCUUGCCAACUGUCUCUGAAUGCCCCCGCAAGCUGGCCACAUGGCUUAUCCACUUGAAUAAGAUCUCUUUCUCCAUCCGGUUGCUGUCAGAGAGACAAGUAGUUUUGUUUUGAUUAGAAACAAAUUAAACACAUUGCAUGUUUAUGUAACUCUUAUUCCUUUUUUUCCCCUAAUGUUUGCGAUUCAGCAUGCUUCAACCAUAUCAACAUUUGCUGUCUUUUCAGGGAACAUUGUGCUAAGAGGUAUUUUUACUGUGAAAACCAAAAUAUUUCAACUCAUAUCUAACCUGUAGAUGAAAAAAUAGAAAGGGAGUUAUUGCACGGUGCUUCUGGACCCGUGAUCUUUCCUAUAACCACAAAAGCUGAGACCUCCUCUGAGCAGAGCAAUAGCAGCAGUCCUGAUCCCCAGGGCCUUGUCUGUUCUGAAAUAGCAGCUGGUUUUAAAAUUGGUUCUGGUAUUUGGAGAUUUAACAGAAUCCUCUUUAGAGAGAGCCUCUGAAUUGGUGGCAGGAAUAUGAGAUGUGGAAUUCCCACUGCCGGCACCACCUGAAGUCAGAUCGGAUCAAACGCCUACCAACACACUGUCAGAAAGCUGCCAUAGCAGGGAGAUGGGAAAAUAUGCGUAUAGAUUUUACCGUCUCUCUUCUCCCUGAUCCAUUGACUAAGCUGCUGUUACAUCUGGGGCCCUACAGACUGGAUGGAGCUAAUCAGCAGAGCAGAAUAAAGAGAGAAAAUCCUGUCACUGCACCUAAAUCAAUCCAGUUAAUAUACACAUCACAGCCCCAGACACAGAAUCUUUCAUUACAGCAUAUCCUGUAAGACAAUCCACUGUCAUAUAAAAUGCCAUAGGGGAGUAGGUGUGUUCCUAAACUCCAAGGAAAAUGAAACAGAUAGUGAACCUCCAUCUCGUUUUUCCAUCUUGAAGAAUAAAAAGGAAAGGAAGAAAAAAGAAGCUUUUCUUUCACAGGCCACCAUCUGGUUUUCUCUUGUGUGGUCUGUAGGAGAGCGAUAGUGCCUUCAUGGUUCCGAGCAUCUUACAAAACUGGAUCUUCAGGUCAUGUCUGCACUCGAUUUUAAGUGGAAAAGAAAGAUGUAGGCACAACAAUAGACUUGAGGCGAUGUACUGGGAGCAGCAGAAAGUCAACUCAAUUAUUCAAAUACAGUCACUGAAAACCAAGCAGACGAGUAUUAUGGGGAGCCAUCUGAUAAUUAAUACGCUUACUUUAAAUUCUGUCACAGCAGCAGGAAGAAAACAACAACUAAUCAUGCAAAAAAGUAGCACCUCAAGUCUAACACCUGCAAAUUUCUCAUCCAGAGGAAGGUAAGGAAACAAAUUCAAAUUGCUGGAUCCUGAUAUACCCAAUGUGGUGCCUCUUCCAAGUAACACACAUUGUACGUUUACUGCUGUGGGUGGAAGUGGACUCCAGAGAUAUGAGGCUGUCACAUCUGAACCUGAAUCCUGGCCUAACAACUUAGCUCUGGGCAAAACAUUCUCUCUUCUGUUCCUUUCCAGUGCUAUGUUAUGAUUAGGAUUUAUCUUUAUGGUUGUACUAAUGGUGCUGAAUUUUACAAACCAUUACUGAAAAUUCAUGAACAGAACACGCUCACGAAGCAUGGAUGCCUCAAUGGAAAUACUGCUCUUGCUGCUAACCUCACUCGUAAUCUCUGGACACACCUACAAGUAAACUAUCAAUCAAUAAGAAGAAGGGAAACAACCUUUAUUAUAUGCAAUAAACCUUCCUUAAGCUGCUUCAUUUUUAAAGCAUUGUUACUUAUUAUGUAUUACAUAAAAGCCACCAGGUGCUCUGCACUUUGCCAAAUAGCAGCUGUAGCAAAACAAGCUCCCGAUUAUCUCUUUCAUGUCCCUUUGCCAGUGAGGCCCGUGGUAAUGGAAGAGGCUGGGGAGGCUCAUUGGGCACCAAGUCUGCAGCUGAGGGAGGAACAUCGGGGAGUUCAGGCAGGGUGUUAGGAAAAACUGAGAAUGAGCAGUGAGGCAGUGGCACAGGCUGCCCAUGGAGGUGGUGGAGUCACCAUCCCUGGAGGUGUUCAAGAGCCGUGUAGAUGUGGCACUGAGGGACGUGGUGAGCGGGCAUGGUGGGGAUGGGUUGGUGGUUCAAUUUAUUGGUCUUUCCAACCUUAACAAUUCUAUGAUUCUAUGUUCUGCCCUCACCGAUGCCACACAGAUGCUGAAGCCAUGGAAUGACAGGUCCCAGUCUCGUUCUCAUUUGACAGGGAACUGGCUUAGUUCUGCACAGAGGAAAACCACAUGGGUGAUUUCAAUCCUAAAUUUCCAUUCUUCCCAAGUGGGCUUGGAAAAAAUAAGGAAAGUCUGGGUUGUGAAUGAGUGAUUUCUCAGUAAGAAAUACUCAUUUACUGGCAGUCUGCUUUUUGUGCAUACGGAGCAACACAACGUAAUCGGGCCAACUUAUUUACUAGCAGAACAUCUACUCGUCCUCCCCAGGCGCAGGAAAACAGCGCUAAAGAAAGCACGGGUCCUGAACAGGAGUGUAAAGCCUCAGAAAGCAGCUUUCGCCCCGUCCCCGAAGCAGGGAGCGGUGCCGGAGCUCCCAGCGCUGCUCCGCAGUGCCGCUUGGUGGGCACCGCCGGCCGCGGUCAUCACUGCCGGCGCAGAGAUGUCAGCCUGUCUGCGUUCCUCACAAACCUCUCACCUGCUUCACAACCGCACCGUUCUGCUGUCUGAACGCUGACGAGCUGCGGGUGCAGAACACGCCGCGCUGACCUCACUGCUGGAUUUCGCAUGAAUUUACCAUUUUCAAGGGAAAUUACCCAUUAAACUGAGAAGUCCUUAAAAAAAAAUUCUUAACUAUACACUCCAGGCUGUCCUUAGGAAAGCUGGAUGUUUGCUAAGCCACUUUCACGUGUUGUCCGAGAAGAGAGGACUGCAGUAGCACUGCAUAUUAAAGAACUGCCCAUCACAUCGACGCUUAACAAUCUGAUGGAAAAUGAUGCAGAAUGGGGCUGAGACAGUGAUGAGUAGGGAAUUAAUCCUUACUCUCUCCCUCCACAUUCAGAAAGGCAUUGCAUCCCUUCUCUUUGACUGAAGCAGUGACAGUUGUCUUCCCUGUUCAGAACAGUCUUGUUCCUUCAGCUGAAGCCAGAUUACAUCCAUGAGCUCUUCUAUUAACUUCAGAGACUGAAUUUAUAAAGGAACUUUGGCUCAACAUUGCAAAACACAGAAAUUCUGGCCAUGAGUCACCAAGAACUUGAACACAUCUUCAAGCCAGUUCCUGACACUUCGGAGAAUGAAGCUCAACACACAUAUUCAUGCCCUCUCUCUCAAUCUUCUAGUAAAACAGCUAUUCCUUUCAUUGUGCUGGCACAUUAUUUCUGUUAUGGGUGAUAAAAAUUGUGCCCAAACCUCACUGUGCUAAAGGAAAGGGAGUGGAAAGAGGAACGGGUUACCUGGGAGGACUACAGAGAAGUUUUCCGAGCAGCCAGGGAUCAGGUUAGGAAUGCUAAAACCCAGACAGAAUUGAAUCUAGCCAGGGGCAUAAAGGGGAACAAGAAGAAAUCCUGCAGGUACAUCAGUGAUAAAAAGAAGGUCAGGAAAGAUGUGGGACCUCUCCAGAAGGAAACUGGAGACCUGGUCAGAAGGGAUAUGGAGAAGGCUGAGAUGCUCAAUUACUUCUUUGCCUCAGCCUUCACCGGGCUCUAGCUGCACUGCCCAAGCUGCAGAAAGCAAAGGUAAGAGCUGGAAGAAGGAAGAUCUGCCUGCUGUAAGUGAAGAUCAGGUUUGAGAUCAUCUAAAGAACCUGAAGGUGAACAAGUGCAUGGGAUCUGACACGAUCUUCCCACAGCUUCUAAGGGAACUGGCAGAUGAAGUUGUCAAGCCAUUAUCCAUCAUAUUUGAAAGGUCGUGGCAGUCUGGUGAAGUUCUCACUUACUGGAAAAGGGGAAACAUAAACCACAUUUUCAAGAAGGGAAAAAAAAGAUAAUUCAGGGAACUACAAGCCAGUCAGUCUCACCUCUGCGCCUGGCAAGAUCAUGGAGCAGAUCUUCCUGAUGGCCCUACUAAGGCACAUGGAAAAUAAAGAUGAGGUGACUGAUGGUAACCAACAUGGUUUCACCAAGGGCAAGUCAUGCCUGACAAACUUGGUGUCUUUUUAUGAUGGAGUUGCAGCAUCAGCAGAUAUAGGAAGAGCAACUGAUGUCCUCUACCCAGACUUGUGCAAAGUGUUUGAUGCUGUUCCGCUUGACAUCCUGGUCACCCAAUUGGAGAAAAAUGGAUUGGAUGACCACUCACUGAAUGAAGAGUUGUCUGGAUGGUCACACUCAGAGUUGCAGUCAAUGGCUCAAUGUCCAAGUGCAGUCCGGUGAUGAGUGGUAUUCCUCAGGGAUCAGUGCUGGGACCAGUGUUAUUUCAUGUCUUUGUAGCUGAUAUGGACAGCGGGAUGGAGUGUGCCCUCAGCAAGUUUGCAGACAACACCAAGCUGAUUGGUGCAGUGGACACACUAGAGGGAAUGGAUGCCAUCCAGAGGGACCUGAACAGGCUUGAGAAGUGGGUGAAACACAUACCUCUGAGAGAUAGAUCUGGAUGGGAAGGUGGAGAGGUUGUGACAAAAUGAGUAAAGAAAGAAUAUAGAAGAAACAGAGGAAGCAGGUAUGAACUAGACUGUACCAUUGAUUUAUGAAUGAAAAUCGAGAAGUUUUUCUGAUUCAGGUGCAAAAAUUAAACUAGCCCUUGGGCACUUCCACCUUUGUGACUUUGCAACAGUCCAUAAUAUUUCACCCAAAAUGAUAUGCAUCUGUAUUGUAUGUCACAUGCCUACAGGCACCAAAUAGAUCAUUCUACUGUGAAAAUAGGACUUUUCAUUUAUUUUAUUUAUUGCAAAAUAAAACAUCUUGUUUUUUUUCACCUCCUUCUCCAUGAGUAUAGGGAGAGUCUGGGUCUAUGCUGGCAUUCAAAUGCAGUAGGUAAUUUCCACAACACAGAAGCUGGGGGAUUCUUUUAGUAUUGUUUGCAGAGAAGUCAAGAGCCAGAGUCAGAUCUAUAGGAGUGAGAAAAAUAAUGUCUAGUCAAUGAUCUGUCAUGAAAGUUUGCUAGGUAGGGAUCUUAGGAUGAAAUGCCCUCUGAGUAUCUGUUUCUUUUAUUCCUCUGAGAAAAAGGACAAUCAGUUAUGGACUUUGUUCCUUCAGCUCCUGAUGGCAGAAUCAUAGAAUCAUAGAAUUAUAGGAUGGCUUGGUUUGGAGGUGGCCUUAAAAAUCAUCAGACUCCAGUCCUCUCACUACAGGGUUCCACCCACAAGCUCAGGCUGCCCAGGAUCCCAUCCAACCUGGUAUUGAAUGCCUCCAGGGAUGGGGCAUUCAGAGUUUCACCGGGCAGCCUGUAGCAGUAGAAAAUUGGUGAGACAUAUCCCAACAUAGGUAUUUAAUAUUUUCUACAGGCAUUGGGGUCCAAGACACUGAGAAGAAAUUCAGCUAUUCAGUGCAGUGGUGGAUCAGCAGUCACAUCCCUGAUAAAGCCCUGAAGCAAGAAACAGAACAUCCCUGAUAAAGCCCCGAAGCAGUCUGCUUUUUUAACCAGUGAAAGGAAAGCCUAGCUCCAUGCCAGCAUUGGCAUUUCCUGCCAUAAGCUUUCCGUGGUGAGGCACAAAUAUUACUUGAAAACAGUCUGCUAAUUUCUGCCAGUUAGUGCUGCAAUCUGCUGCUGCUUUAAAGCACUUGAUGCUUCUCUUUGAGGUGUUACUCUGCCAGUAUUAGGGCCCUGGACUUUAUCACACAAAGAGCCAUAUAUGGGACAGAAGCAGAAAGAAGAUGAUGACCAUUGGCAUAAACACUAAAAUAUUAUUUCCAAACCUUCAGGUUAGCAGUUCAUUCAACAUCACCUUUGCUCCUCGAAAGGCAUGCACUCUGCAUUACACAGUGUUUUAAGGUGUCAGUGUUUAAGUGAAAUUGAUCGAUGCAUGAGGUACAGACAUAAUGAUGAUAUUCUGAAGACAGCUCUGCCUGCAUGGACAGGAUUGUCCUUGCUAGUUUGCAUGCAGAAGGAAUCAUGAUAUCUGUUCCGGGGAACUUGAUAAUCUCUUGCAGUUAAUACUGUAAUUGGAGGUGUUGGAAGAGCUUGUUGAGUUCAUGCCAGGGAAUGUGAGCGUCUCACAAGGCUACGGACACCAUACUAUACACUAGCCAACCAACCUGCCUGCUGCUGCGGAUGCUUAUACAGAACUCUUGCUUUUGCAAAUCACUCGUCUGAACAGCAAAAUGUUCAACACUCAUUCCUUCAAAAUGUGAUCAUAGAGUGCCAUCAGUAAUAUCCACACAUCUGACAGCAUCCUUGGUGGCAAGGGCAAGCCAUCCUCCCUCUUUUUAAAAGCGAGCAGCAUCUGUCACCACCACCGGGCUCCCACUGCUAUCCCAUGGUGAGGCCAAGGCCAGGCUAGGAUGUGACUACCCUGCUAUCUCUUAGCAGAACUUCCCAGGCUGAUUCCAGCCUCACUGUUUCAGAUCACAAAUGUACAAAUAUGCACUAGAGAAACCAAAUCUCAAAAAAAAAGUUGCUUCCUACAGCCUUUGCCAUCCUUCAAGGACAAAAUUUCUGACUUCCAGUGUGUUGCUCAUAGGGAUACAGCUCUGCAAUAAUGCCAUGAAGGCAGAAGUGGCCAUCAGAAAGGGAUAGCAGAAAAUUUCAGCAAGAAUCUUUCGCCUUAAACGCAUUUCUUCUGGAGUUUAGCAGAUCUUUGCAGAGAAAUUGUUUGCAGCUCAUCUGUGGUGACUGAGACCAUUGUCUGCUGUUAAGUAAUGAGUUAUUUUUAUCCACCGAAGCUCACCAGCAUCUCUGAGGGUGACGGCACCUUGCCAAGGCUUUGGAAAGUCUGCUUGAGCUGAUACACAAAGAUGAAUGGUUGAGGCAAGCCUGGAGGACACUUCUGAGUCAACCUUACAGAGGGAAUUAAAUCCAAAUAUACCAGGUAGCUCCACAGUGGAGUUGCUGAAAAGUUGUUUUUGCUUCUCUUCUGACAGAUGGCAGAGAAUGAUGUCUCCUGGUCUUUUGGAAAUCCCUUUUACUUUUCCUCCUACAGCAAAAAAGUUCCAAACAGGUUUGUGACGGGUACUAGGGAAGCAUGGGCUUUACAGUUGUAUGUGCACAGUUAGGUUUAGGUUGUAAUGUUGCAAUAAAAAUGGCCAUGCUUAUGAA